AGGAUUUUUGUUUCCCAUCAAGGUAUUUCUACAGAAAUUUAGCUCGUAAAAUUUUGUUAUUUUCAGGUGCUGAUAAUGUAUUGGAAUCUGAUGCCAGCAAGACAGGUUCCAUAACCCAGUGUGAUCAGAGGAUAUUUGGAUAUUGAAGGAACAGGAAAUAAAGCAGAGUCAUUACUGAGUCUGCUUACCUGAUGAAAAAUUUUACACCACUGCCACAAAAAUGAAGUUCAUAUCUACAUAUCCAAAACUUCUGUUACCACCAAGAGAAGAAUAUUCCUCUCCUAGCCCACUGUCCAAAGAAAGAUGCUACAGAAUAGAGCUGGAUUCAGUCUGCAGCUUAACCAAGCCCAGCCUAGGGCAGUUGCCUCUCAGAAUCCUCACAUGCCACUCCUAUUGCCUUCAGGCUGGCAUUCGACAUCACAUCCCAGACAAGCCCAGUGGGUAAGUACAACUCUAGUUAAUGAAAGAAGUGACUCACAUGCUGAAGGAAUUAGACUCUGCCUGUGUGCACUGCUGGUGACUGGAAGCAAAUGUAAGAGUAAAUCUUGUGGGUUAGAAAAUAGGGCUAGACUACAUGUGGGCUAUAGAGUAAGUUAUUUACGUGGGCCACUCACCCAUGACUGGAGCUUCGAUGUUCUAACAAGGGCAUAUUUUUUUUGGCAAUAACUUCUUGAAACAUGCUCUGAAGAUUGCCAAUAGAUAAAAUACUUCCUGAAAUAUACUAAGAAAGUAGUCAGUGAGGUCAAGAGAAGUGGGAAUGUUAC
rnacentral:lncRNA from 1 species